CUCAGUUCUCGGACGUUUGGCUAAGAUCAAGUGUAGUACCUGUUCUUAUCAGUUUAAUAACUGAUACGUCUUUGAUGUGAUUUUCCCCCCUUAUAGACUGUGAGCCCGUUGUUGUGUAGGGAUUGUCUCUAUAUGUUGCCAAUUUGUACUUCCCAAGCGCUUACUACAGUGCUCUGCACACAGUAAGCGCUCAAUAAAU